rnacentral:rRNA from 1 species
UACAUGGGGUGCAAACGUUGCUCGGAAUCAUUGGGCGUAAAGCGUACGCAGGCUGUUCGUUAAGUCGGGUGUGAAAGCCCAGGGCUCAACCCUGGAAUGGCGCCCGAAACUGGCGAGCUUGAGUGCGGGAGAGGGAAGCGGAAUUCCUGGUGUAGAGGUGAAAUUCGUAGAUAUCAGGAGGAACACCGGUGGCGAAAGCGGCUUCCUGGCC